UUUUUACAAAUGAAAAAUAUGACCUUAAACAAGCUGUACUUUGCAAUAAUACAUUUGUAAUAAAAGUGAUAAAUGCAAAUGUGUGUAAAUCACAUAGUAUGGAUUACAUCCCCAAAUAACUAAUUAGCAACUUCUACAGCCAAAAUGAAAUAAAAAAAUAAUUUUAUUUUAUUUUAAAGCAUAUCCAAAAUCAAAAUGUCUCAACUGCUGCUGAAGGUUUUGAAAUCGUACAUCAAAAUAAUUACAAUUUAAUUACACACUGGACAAGUUAUUGAAAAAUACUUUUUUCACAAAAGUCUCUUUUAUUCAGAAUGUUUUUUAAACAAGUUUAUUCUGAAAUGUUUUAGUUUCUCUUUACAUAUUCAAAGACUUUAUUUUACUCUUAAGACAGAGUCAACAUUAUUCAAUGUUGAAUAACAUUGAAUAAUGUUAUUCAAUGUGUGGUCUAUGUACAGAAACAUACGUUUGUCUGAAAAAAAGCUAUAAGAAGAGGGAACGAUUUAAAAACAAAAGAAGAAUCCCCCAGAUGUGGCUAACAGGAAUGUUGAUGAGGUGUGAGUUAAUACUGCAGAUCCCUGAAUGCCACACAUUGAAAGAACAAGAACCAACACUUAAUGGAUGAGUGUUCAGAGCACCCCUCCUGAGGCUGGAGCCCAAUGUGAGCUCUGAGGCCUCAGGUCCAACUCAAGGUUACACAAAGGAACAUUUACAGUAUUUGAAUCAGCACUUGACAGGCCAGCUUCUGAUUGGCAGGUUAACAGAGAUAUAACUAAGAUGAGAGUUAAGGUUUAAUCAAAGA